ACGAACGCUGGCGGCAUGCCUAACACAUGCAAGUCGAACGAGAUCUUCGGGUCUAGUGGCGCACGGGUGCGUAACGCGUGGGAAUCUGCCCUCAGGUUCGGAAUAACCAUUGGAAACGAUGGCUAAUACCGGAUGAUGACGUUAAGUCCAAAGAUUUAUCGCCUGAGGAUGAGCCCGCGUAGGAUUAGCUAGUUGGUGUGGUAAAGGCGCACCAAGGCGACGAUCCUUAGCUGGUCUGAGAGGAUGAUCAGCCACACUGGGACUGAGACACGGCCCAGACUCCUACGGGAGGCAGCAGUGGGGAAUAUUGGACAAUGGGCGCAAGCCUGAUCCAGCAAUGCCGCGUGAGUGAUGAAGGCCUUAGGGUUGUAAAGCUCUUUUACCCGGGAUGAUAAUGACAGUACCGGGAGAAUAAGCUCCGGCUAACUCCGU
rnacentral:rRNA from 1 species